UCCCGGCUCCCGGGGCUGAGGUGGAGCCGGGGGACGCCGGCAGGGCUGUGGCGCAGCAGUCUCCUUCCUGCGUGCGCGCCUGAAGUCGGCGUGGGCAUUUGAGGAAGCUGGGAUACAGCAUUUAAUGAAAAAUUUAUGCUUAAGAAGUAAAAAUGGCAGGCUUCCUAGAUAAUUUUCGUUGGCCAGAAUGUGAAUGUAUUGACUGGAGUGAGAGAAGAAAUGCUGUGGCGUCUGUUGUCGCAGGUAUAUUGGUAAGUGAGAAAGACUGGUUGGUGGCAUUUAUCCCUUACCUUUUGCCCUGGAAAUUAAUGCCGGUUCCUUUGAACUGAGAAUGGCUUUCCAGAACUAUUUAUUUCACUGCUGUUUUGUAUAGAUAAUUAUCAGAGUUCUAGAUACUAUUGCCAAGCAGAAUAUGAUAGGCCCUGGAUUCAUUUUGACUUUGUAAACAUGUACUUAAUAUCUUUUCUUCAGUUCCAGUGAUAAUAUAAUUAUUAUAGGCAAUAGCAUUUUUAACUUACUGAUACAACAUAUAUAUAAGUACUUUAAGAUCCUUAAAGGCUCAGAAUUUGAUGUAACCCAAAAUUAUUGUUGUGACUUAUUGAAGGUCAGACAACAGUG
rnacentral:sRNA from 1 species